GCCCCGGUAGCUCAGCUGGUAGAGCGCCACACUGGUAAUGUGGAGGUCACGGGUUCGAAACCCGUCCGGGGCU
rnacentral:tRNA from 2 species